GGACCCGCACAAGCGGUGGAUGAUGUGGAUUAAUUCGAUGCAACGCGAAAAACCUUACCUACCCUUGACAUGUCAGGAAUCCUUGAGAGAUCAGGGAGUGCUUGAAAGAGAACCUGAACACAGGUGCUGCAUGGCUGUCGUCAGCUCGUGUCGUGAGAUGUUGGGUUAAGUCCCGCAACGAGCGCAACCCUUGUCAUUAAUUGCCAGCAUUUAGUUGGGCACUUUAAUGAGACUGCCGGUGACAAACCGGAGGAAGGUGGGGAUGACGUCAAGUCCUCAUGGCCCUUAUGGGUAGGGCUUCACACGUCAUACAAUGGUACAUACAGAGGGCUGCUAAGUCGUGAGACGGAGCCAAUCCCAGAAAGUGUAUCGUAGUCCGGAUUGAAGUCUGCAACUCGACUUCAUGAAGUUGGAAUCGCUAGUAAUCGCGGAUCAGCAUGUCGCGGUGAAUACGUUCCCGGGUCUU
rnacentral:rRNA from 1 species